rnacentral:rRNA from 1 species
AGAGUUUGAUCCUGGCUCAGGACGAACGCUGGCGGCGUGCCUAACACAUGCAAGUCGAGCGAGAGACUUCGGUCUCUAGCGGCGGACGGGUGAGUAACACGUGGGUAACCUGCCUCAUAGAGGGGGAUAGCCUCCCGAAAGGGAGAUUAAUACCGCAUAACAUCAUGCUAACGCAUGUUAGUAUGAUCAAAGGAGUAAUCCGCUAUGAGAUGGACCCGCGGCGCAUUAGCUAGUUGGUGAGGUAAAGGCUCACCAAGGCGACGAUGCGUAGCCGACCUGAGAGGGUGAUCGGCCACAUUGGAACUGAGACACGGUCCAGACUCCUACGGGAGGCAGCAGUGGGGAAUAUUGCACAAUGGGCGAAAGCCUGAUGCAGCAACGCCGCGUGAGUGAUGAAGGCCUUCGGGUUGUAAAGCUCUGUCUUUUGGGACGAUAAUGACGGUACCAAAGGAGGAAGCCACGGCUAACUACGUGCCAGCAGCCGCGGUAAUACGUAGGUGGCAAGCGUUGUCCGGAUUUACUGGGCGUAAAGGAUGCGUAGGUGGAUAUUUAAGUGGGAUGUGAAAUACCCGGGCUUAACCUGGGUGCUGCAUUCCAAACUGGAUAUCUGGAGUGCAGGAGAGAUAAGUGGAAUUCCUAGUGUAGCGGUGAAAUGCGUAGAGAUUAGGAAGAACACCAGUGGCGAAGGCGACUUACUGGACUGUAACUGACACUGAGGCAUGAAAGCGUGGGGAGCAAACAGGAUUAGAUACCCUGGUAGUCCACGCCGUAAACUAUGGGUACUAGGUGUGGGAGGUAUC